rnacentral:rRNA from 1 species
GAUGAACGCUGGCGGCGUGCUUAACACAUGCAAGUCGAGCGAGAAAAGUUCUUCGGAGCUUUUCUAGCGGCGGACGGGUGAGUAACACGUGGGCAACCUGCCUCAUAGAGGGGAAUAGCCUUCCGAAAGGAAGAUUAAUACCGCAUAACAUUGUUGAAAGGCAUCUUUUAACAAUCAAAGGAGCAAUCCGCUAUGAGAUGGGCCCGCGGCGCAUUAGCUAGUUGGUGAGGUAACGGCUCACCAAGGCGACGAUGCGUAGCCGACCUGAGAGGGUGAUCGGCCACAUUGGAACUGAGACACGGUCCAGACUCCUACGGGAGGCAGCAGUGGGGAAUAUUGCACAAUGGGGGAAACCCUGAUGCAGCAACGCCGCGUGAGUGAUGAAGGUCUUCGGAUUGUAAAGCUCUGUCUUUAGGGACGAUAAUGACGGUACCUAAGGAGGAAGCCACGGCUAACUACGUGCCAGCAGCCGCGGUAAUAC